rnacentral:rRNA from 1 species
AGUCGAGCGGACCGGGCGGGAGCUUGCUUCCGCUUGGUUAGCGGCGGACGGGUGAGUAACACGUGGGUAACCUGCCCGUAAGACCGGGAUAACUCCGGGAAACCGGGGCUAAUACCGGAUAACACCGAAGACCGCAUGGUCUUCGGUUGAAAGGCGGCUUCGGCUGCCACUUACGGAUGGGCCCGCGGCGCAUUAGCUAGUUGGUGAGGUAACGGCUCACCAAGGCGACGAUGCGUAGCCGGCCUGAGAGGGUGACCGGCCACACUGGGACUGAGACACGGCCCAGACUCCUACGGGAGGCAGCAGUAGGGAAUCUUCCGCAAUGGACGAAAGUCUGACGGAGCGACGCCGCGUGAGCGAAGAAGGUCUUCGGAUCGUAAAGCUCUGUUGUUAGGGAAGAAGAAGUGCCGUUCGAACAGGGCGGCGCGGUGACGGUACCUAACGAGAAAGCCCCGGCUAACUACGUGCCAGCAGCCGCGGUAAUACGUAGGGGGCGAGCGUUGUCCGGAAUUAUUGGGCGUAAAGCGCGCGCAGGCGGUCCCUUAAGUCUGAUGUGAAAGCCCACGGCUUAACCGUGGAGGGUCAUUGGAAACUGGGGGACUUGAGUGCAGAAGAGGAGAGCGGAAUUCCACGUGU